UUUAACUUCUACCAAAUAUCAUUCAGACCUGGGCUCAUCUUAAUAUCAGAUGAACGAAAGGGAUUGCCGCGCGUAUUGUUGUUGUUAUUAUAUUACGGUAUAUCAUCAAAAGCAGAGAAUAUCUUCUCUAAAGCGUUUUACACGUCCAGUAAGUUGUCCAAUACAUUUUUAUGGCAUAUUGUUUCCACCACUUCAGAUGCAUUACACGCUGUAUAUAAGUUUCCAAAACACAUCAAAUCAAUGCACGAAAAGAGAAUGGGCUCCGCAUUUACGUACCUUUGUCUUCUCGUCUCUGUCAUCUGAUCCUUCAUCUCUGGAUGUAAAAUACGGUAGUCCAUUAUAACAUCGUGUAGGAAACUGGCAUCACCAGGAUUGCUCAGAUUUAGGCGAUCAUGUUUAUCUUUAAAGUGAGCAGCUAGCUACUUGUUAAAAAACUUUGCGUGACAUAGUGUUACACCGCAGCCGGUCCGGGUAAAACAUUAAAGGGACAGUCUUUUUACCUUGUCACUAUAAAUCGCUAUUUUCUGCACUAAACGAGACAUUUUCAGAGAUUUUCUGUAGACAAGAUGUUAUAAUUAAAAAAAGACUUAUUUAGAUAUUUAUAUAUAAUAUAUAAUAUAACAACUAAUAUAUAUAUAUAUAUUUGUUUUACAACUGACUUAACACUUACAGUAAUGUUUUAUUUGUUAGCAUAGCAUGAUAUUAGAUUUAAACACUUAAUACAUUUUUAAAUCAAUCACUUUGUCUCUGCACAAUGAACAUUAUCAAAUAUUAUUAAUGUUGUAAAAUAUAUUGUUCAUUGUUAGUUCAUAUUAGCUAAGGCAUUACCAAAUGUUAAGGAAUAAACUCUUAUAGUAAAGUGUUACUAAAUUUUCUUUUACCAUUUCCUUCACAAUGUCUACUUAUUUCUAUGGCUAACAGAUUUUGUAACAUUUGUCUUUUUUACAGUCUUACCAUUGCUUGUAAGCUGGAUUGGGUAAGAUGGAUCAUCUUUAAAGGCACCAGGAGUUAAGGCAGAUGUGGAGGCACAACGGGUGAUACCAGACACACACCAAGCACAUUAUGUUUGGACAUUCAAUCAUGACAUGAUCCAGGUGGAUGCUGUCCAUUGAGGAAAGAGUUUGUUCAGCGGUUUCUGGAUAGAAUUAAUUCCAAAGAUGGGAAAAAGUGCACAUCCAGACAAGGAGCAAGCAAAAAGACAAGGAACUUGGUGCAGAGAAAAGCUGUGGCCAUUAACCCCUGUGAACAGCUUCAUGCAGUCGCUGAUUGAGUUCGAAUGGACGACUUCAGUAAAGGCCACUGUGGUCUGUCUGCCACAGUUUAAUUUUUAAUUUAUUUUUAGUGUUCAAUGAAAUUCAAGUAGAAUAUUUAAAACUAUGGGCCAGUGUUGUUUUUACCACGGUGAAAUGUUACCUUUUAGUCGAUGAUGGACUUUAAACUGAAAACUUCAAACUAUGGAAGAGUGUUCUAUUUGCCAGAGUUAAAUAUGUUACAGCAGGGGUCUCCAAACUUGUUUAUACUUGUUGAUUUUAUUUUAUGUUACUUGAUUAUAUGUUUAUUAUUGUUUAAAAUCUUGUUUUAAAUAUGUUUGUUUCAAUUAAAUGUUUUUUUUAAUAAAAUUUUGAUACAAACAUUGCUUGGAUUGCCUUUUAAUUCAUUAUGUUUUAAUUUAGCAUUUUUACCAUAUUAAUAACUAUAGAUUUAAACCUAAAUCUCUAGCUAUUUUAUAUAAUAUUAUUGUAUUAACUGUAAUAAGUAAUAAAUAGUAUUUAUGGGUCAAUAUAGACAUUACAGUAAAUUACUGUAAAAAUAGACUACUGUAAUAAAAUAUUGUAAAAUUACAGUACAGUACUGCUUUGUAACUAUACAGUACUAGUUUGUGUACUGUAAAAUGGUAUUACAGUACAGUACUGUAAAACCAAAAUACAG